UACGUAGGGUGCGAGCGUUAAUCGGAAUUACUGGGCGUAAAGCGUGCGCAGGCGGUUUUGCAAGCCGGAUGUGAAAUCCCCGGGCUUAACCUGGGAACUGCAUUUGUGACUGCAUCGCUGGAGUGCGGCAGAGGAGACUGGAAUUCCUGGUGUAGCAGUGAAAUGCGUAGAUAUCAGGAGGAAUACCGAUGGCGAAGGCAGGUCUCUGGGCUGACACUGACGCUCAUGCACGAAAGCGUGGGGAGCAAACAGG
rnacentral:rRNA from 1 species